GAUGAAGAACGUAGCGAAAUGCGAUAAGUAAUGUGAGUUGCAGAAUUCAGUGAAUCAUCGAAUCUUUGAACGCACCUUGCGCCCCUUGGUUAUUCCAAAGGGCAUGCCUGUUUGAGUAUCAUGAACACCUCAACUCUUGUGGUUUCCCACAAUGAGCUUGGACUGUGGAGGUUUUGUUGGCCCUGUGGUCAGCUCCUCUCAAAUGGAUCAGCUUACCGGUGUUUGGUGGCAUUACGGGUGUGAUAACUAUCUACGCUCGUGGUCGUCUCCAAAUAACCUCCAGUGAUGGAGGUUCGCUGGAGCUUAUAAAUGUCUCUCCCCAGUGAAGACAGCCUUUGAACGUUCGAUCUCAAAUCAGGUAGGACUACCCGCUGAACUUAAGCAUAUCAAUAAGCGGAGGA
rnacentral:misc_RNA from 1 species